AGAUUGCUAUCUCAAAGGUUACUCAUACUUCUGUCAGGAGGCCAGGAACCCAGCUCAUGCAGAGAAAAUGGAACCCGAUGAGGAAAGGCCUGGAGUUUUCCAAAGGAGAUUUUACUAUCAAAUUAUAAAUAUGUAGAAAGGCAGAGAAAAGAGAAAGGGAAGUAUGGGAUGGUUCAGGAGUGAGGGUGAAAGGAAAACACCAUACCAGUGAUCUAACAAAGGCCUGGAGUUUACAGUGACUCAAGAGGCCCCUUUCUGGGCAACAUGAAAGACAACUAAUCAACAUGAGUGAAUCAGCACACUGUCCCCUUUGGAUUAAAGCUCCAUGGGCAUAUAUGGCGAGUGAGAGAUAUGAUGGUCUUAUUUCUUCAGUUUUUUCAGCCCUAUUUCCCUGGAAAUCGAAGAAGGCAGGGAGAGCUUCAGUAGAGAAGCGAAUUCCAAGCCCGGGAACCAAGGUGCAGAGGGAAGAACUGGAAAAACUGCCAAGGUGGGGGAACUGGCUUCUAUCACCGGAUUGCCACCACAGAGUGGCUGAGGGGGAAUGAGGCCUCCUGAGAAAUCUGCAAUUCCCUCCCAGUCUUGACCACCAAGGUUGUUCUUGGAUGGGGCUGGUGAUACAAGUCACAUUGGGCUGAGGCAUCUCAUCUUCCCCUGGGAGGACAAACAGCUCUUCUCGUCUGGCAGCAAUCAGUGCCUGAUCCGGGGCACGGGCUGGAUCUUGGUGGUCUAUACCUCUGAAGGCAGAGACAGAAGAUGCAUACAGAUUCCCAGCUGUAGACAACACUUUCUCAAUCUCUGGUGUCACCAAGUGCCCGGUCAUCACCUUCCAAUUCCAGGCCAUGGUGCCCGUAUAGCCUCUUCUACUGUUCUCUUGGCUCUGGGAGAUUGCUUCUUCCUAUUGCCCUUGUUUUCUUCUCGAUCCCCCCUCUCCAAAAGCCCUGCCUUGGAGGUAGAGCCUCAGAUGCCAUAAGCAUGCAGCAAUCCCCCUUUGCGCACAACAAAGACUUCUUUUCUUUUUUAUCUUUUGGGCGACACGAUAAAAAAUAACCCUGUAUUUAUGCAAAUUGCAAAGUAGCGUGUGAUAAUGAAAACAAAACAGUGCUGGCCUGCAGCCAAGACAUGGCACUGACGGGGGCUCCCGACCAUUUGGUUUCUGAUUCUUCGGGGAAAGCAGCUGUGGAGAAAUGAAAAUACAGAACACCCCCUCGCGCGCGCAGACACACGCUCAUCCACACACAUUCCAGUACCCGUCACCUCGGAGUCAGCGAGACUUGGGAUCCGGGUACGGUUCUGCCUACAGCCGCUGCUAGAAUCACCCUGUCGUCCCCCACGAGCCUCCCUGCCCCCCGUCCAUGAAUCCCUUUCAGGAAUUUACAAACAUUUUCCACAGAUCAAUAUCUGUAUUGAUUAUUCAUUGUGAGUGAGUCGUGUGUCUUUGGCGAUCCAGCUUGGCAGAGGGAGAAGCCAAAGGCUGCCGCAGUAAAAAAAAAUAACAGAAGGCGAGUGGGACCCAGCUCUUGCUGGGUUGGCUCCUGUCGGCAACACAGAGACGGAAGGAGAGGAAGAAAGAAAGAGAAAAGCGUAAAAACCCGAAGAAAGAUGGGGGAGGAAGAGAAAGAGGGAACGCUAGCAAGAAAGACAAAGUCACAACUGGAAAACUGGUUCCGGGGCACGUUGGUAGCUUGGGGAAAACCCAGCCUCGUGUAUGCUGUUACGUGCACAGAUACAGUGGACUUAUUGCUCUGGGAGUGAAAAGUGACUCACAGUUUUGGUAUCUGCUACGUAAGAGCAUUGGGGGGAUUCCUUGGCUUGCUGACAGGAAAGGAAGAAAGCAGCAGCAGUGAGGUAAAAUACGAUUCCUUCCUACUGCCUUGCUGAGGAUAUGCAGUCGCCUGGGCUGACUUGAACAGCUUGCUGCUCUCCUAUGGCAUGCGGAAGGAGAAUAAUUAAAAGGGCCAGCAUCACUUACAAAGAGGAGCUGCUGAUUCUCCUGUUUGCCUCCUGGGAGCUGCUGCGGCAUUACAGAAGCAUACUGAAAAAAGGGAGGCUCAGGAAAUUAAGUUUUCCAUUGGCUGGUGAUCUGGCAAAACAUUCCAGGUAAUCUUCUCUAGCAUCUGGCUCUGCCUGAGGGGGCUGCUUUUGGAGACAGCCUCCACUCCGAGCCCUUCACCUAUGGCUUGGGAAGUCCAGACAACUCCAAGAUUGGGACUUGCAAUCCAGAUGUUCCAAGCACAUAUGAAAAAGUGAUAACCCAAUGGAAUAAAAUGAGAUGGAUUUUC